GGAACGCUAAUACCGCAUACGUCCUACGGGAGAAAGCAGGGGACCUUCGGGCCUUGCGCUAUCAGAUGAGCCUAGGUCGGAUUAGCUUGUUGGUGAGGUAAUGGCUCACCAAGGCGACGAUCCGUAACUGGUCUGAGAGGAUGAUCAGUCACACUGGAACUGAGACACGGUCCAGACUCCUACGGGAGGCAGCAGUGGGGAAUAUUGGACAAUGGGCGAAAGCCUGAUCCAGCCAUGCCGCGUGUGUGAAGAAGGUCUUCGGAUUGUAAAGCACUUUAAGUUGGGAGGAAGGGUUGUAGAUUAAUACUCUGCAAUUUUGACGUUACCGACAGAAUAAGCACCGGCUAACUCUGUGCCAGCAGCCGCGGUAAUACAGAGGGUGCAAGCGUUAAUCGGAAUUACUGGGGCGUAAAGCGCGCGUAGGUGGUUUGUUAAGUUGGAUGUGAAAGCCCCGGGCUCAACCUGGGGAACUGCAUCCAAAACUGGCAAGCUAGA
rnacentral:rRNA from 1 species